AUGUAACCGAUGCCGUAGCAGAAUCUGUGCUCUACCUCUUGAAGAUGCUACCGUUGUUAACAAGCAGCGGCUUCUCGCUGUCGUCACACCUGAGUCGCGCCCCGAGCUGCCAACGCUGGAAAGAAAUCCUGAGGGCUCACGAUUUCUAUGCAGCUUGAAAUACAAAGUUGGAUUUCCACAAAGGUAAAAAACGCCCACCUAGCCUGACGUAUUUAGAGUAUAUAUGGAAUUCAACGGGGACACCAAAUGAGAUCUGGAGGUCAGUGGUAGUCCUGCGAACAGGGAGGCUGUUCCUAAGCUACCCUUGGCACAUCUCUUGGGUCUGCCUGAAAAGUGCACAUACUGCAUAACGGAUCAGUUGACCCUGUCAGCUGUGCCUCGCAGUGACUGACACUGCACUCUCAGAAAGCUGCAGACUUUUACUAGUGCUGACAAGACAAGGUUUCCCCCUCACUCAAGUUUCCUUACCUCACUUAGCCUGGAGACCUCUCAGUCUUUCAUGUUGUGAUCAAGUGCAGGAAGUAUUUGUGAAGCCUGAUGGAUAAAACACUUCUCUCCUCCGCGAGCACUGGGCCGGAAAAACCGGAGGCGCCCGCUGCAAACAAAAGGCAAAACGCCAAGCAUGAAAUAAACAGCCAUUUUGAUUAGUAGAUAAUAGAAAUUUGAUAUGCAUUUCACCACCCACAUGAAAAAUCCUAUCCGGUGGCAGAGAAGCCACUUUGUGGAGACUGGAUUUGAGUCAUGCACUCGCGGUACAGAUGAAGAACAAAGCGGUCGUGCACGGACACAGCGGGAUGGGCUAAUUUAACAUCAUUUACUGUGGUUCGGGGCUGCGUACCUACAAGCCAGAGAACAGUUUCCCUCUGUGCGUCUCCAGGGUCCUUUUUUAAUCUUUCUGCAACACACGCCAAUGGGUCCCAGCUGUAUUCUUUUGAAAAACUGCUGCUCAUGGGUAAAUUUCUAUUAAUAAAAAUGGCCAAAGAUUCUCAGUGAAAAGAGAUGAAAAAGCAAAACACGAGAAGCUUUGCACCACAGCAUCAGAUACGUCUAACGAUGGCGAGAAUAAAAAUCAAAUCUGUUUUCCCACCAAAAACCUUAAAUGCCAUGAAAAUUGUCAAAGUGCGUCUGCACCCCGUCGCGUGACAAAAGCCAUUAUGUCCAGUUCCCCCUCGCCGUCCUCCGAGCGCAGCAGCACCAGGCAGCCUUGAGAGUGAGUGACUCCCCGAGUUUCACACUUACCCGUUAAAUCACAUCUUCUUGCUUGGAGCUUACUCCACUCAUCUCUUGGAAGUCAGCCAUUUUCAACAUUAUAUCCUUAUCUUUGUUAGCGGAGCCCACCAGGAAAAGCUCAGACUGGCUUUUCCAGGCCACGGAGACCUCAGCAGACGGAUGUAAACUUCUCAUUCACACAGAGCUCCGACAUCUCUCGCUUCCCCAAAGUUUAUUGUAUCAUUUUAUUUUAUUUCAUUUUUGCUGUGUUAUACAAGAUACUUUUUUCUUUCCAAUUUGGGCCUCGUGUCCCUUCAGUGCUUUGUUCCCUCAGCUCUUAUGAGUUCAGUAAUAAACUGUUCCAAUAUGGUGUCAGUGUGUGUCCCUGAAGUACAUGAGAGGCACAGAGACACUGAAUUUGACUGACUAAACGACUACGAGGAGACGUCUCUGUAAAGGGAAGUUGCUGCUUUCGUAUCACAUUCAUAUCUCGUAUUUGUUUUACUUUGGAGGCGGCAGCAUCUGCUUCAUCCCCGAAGAACGAAAGAUCGUCUGCAUAUCUGUCAUUUGAAAUAUUGAAAUCAUUUUCCUGUAGCCAUUAAUUAUGAUGUUAACCUUCUAACCUUUGAGAUUAUAUAGCAUGCACAUGUUAUUAGAGUUUUUAUGGACUAUAUUUAAAGGGUAGAUGUCUUUUGUCCUCAUGUUCUAGUUACUGUUUAUUGUGCAGCAUGAAAUUAAAUUUUAAAAGGCGUGUUGUCAGGAUUCAUAAAACCUUCCUUCAUUCUUUAUUCACAAUAUAGUGAAUAAAGUAAGAAAUGUGGGUCACGUCGUCAGGAGCGAUUAACAUGCAAAUUUCAUUUAUUAUUAUUGUUGUUGUUAGUUAUGGCGAAAAUAACAGUAAUGACGUUAAUAAGCGUUGUGUGGCACUUUUCAUGUUGGUUACAAAGUGCUUCACAAAAGGAUAAGAAACAAUAGAACAAUACAAAUUCUAAUUUAUACAAUUAAUAAUAUAAAUUCACAGAUUAAUUUAACAUUUUUAAGAGGGAAUGAAAAAGUAUAGCAAAGACACAGGCUCUGUGUACCAGGACCACUAUCAUCUGAUGGUGCUUUAGUGCUGUGACUGUCUUUUAAUCCCUGUUUGAUGAUCAUAUGUCUUUAUUAUUGUUUUCCAUUUAAAUAUGUACUGAUAUGGACGUGUGUCUGAAAUAAAGCUGAAUAAUAAUAAGAUACAAACCCAUA